rnacentral:rRNA from 1 species
GACGAACGCUGGCGGCGUGCCUAAUACAUGCAAGUUGAGCGAUGAAGAUUGGUGCUUGCACCAAUUUGAAGAGCAGCGAACGGGUGAGUAACGCGUGGGGAAUCUGCCUUUGGGCGGGGGACAACAUUUGGAAACGAAUGCUAAUACCGCAUAACAACUUUAAACAUAAGUUUUAAGUUUGAAAGAUGCAAUUGCAUCACUCAAAGAUGAUCCCGCGUUGUAUUAGCUAGUUGGUGAGGUAAAGGCUCACCAAGGCGAUGAUACAUAGCCGACCUGAGAGGGUGAUCGGCCACAUUGGGACUGAGACACGGCCCAAACUCCUACGGGAGGCAGCAGUAGGGAAUCUUCGGCAAUGGACGAAAGUCUGGCCGAGCAACGCCGCGUGAGUGAAGAAGGGUUUCGGAUCGUAAAACUCUGUUGGUAGAGAAGAACGUUGGUGAGAGUGGAAAGCUCAUCAAGUGACGGUAACUACCCAGAAAGGGACGGCUAACUACGUG